rnacentral:rRNA from 1 species
UAAAGUAAACCCGCCGUGACAAGAUUGGUCAUCUCUCUGUCUCUCGCUCGCUCUCCCUCUCGCUGCCUCUUCUCCUCCGCCAAGGCGGCACAAGUACAGCAAGGCCUCUGGGGGGAGACGACCUCGAACUGAAGAAAAACUAAGUGCCAACGGGCCAAUGACCACGACAACACCUAAAACAAUCGAGAACAUCUACGUUAACAACCAAGACGACGCCCCAUACACAUCUAAGGCGACCAAGGGGGAGAUGAGAAAAACAUCUACAUACUUGACCAGACAACAUGACCCAAUACCACAGCAACAGUCCAAAAUCCAGGGGUACAAAACUUGGGUAGCGACAUCCGUCACCAUCCACAGUAUUCUCCCAACGAAAACACCAAUCCCAAGCCUCUAAAGACGAUUUAUCUAUCCGAUACACAAACGAAGUCGACCAACCAAGUACCGUCAAGAUGAGGUUGGGACUAAAGACAACAUCAACAAACAUAAAACCAUCAUAAUUAACAAAGGGGCACAAUCCGAAACCGAAAAAAGUCACGAAUUAGUACAUACUCUAAAAACGUCUCACUCGGUACAUCAGGGUCCCCAUCAGGGCACAUAAAAGAGACACGUGACAGUAACAUUAAGGACCCAUAAAUUAAAGAUUAAGGUACACAUCAUCCUGACAUUAAACAAGACUUAAAAAUCACAAUCUAAAUCGUCACAUCAUAGGGCACAUCGUAAGAAUAUAUCAGACGUUUAUAGUCCAUCCACCACAGUAUACGUGACAUUUUACAGGGUCUAUACGUACAUUACACGGGGUCUCAAAGAGGCAUUUAAGCUCGAAGAAAAUGUGACAUUAAACGGGCUCUAAAUGUGAGAUUAUACGGGAUCUAAAUGAAACAUAUAAAAUCGAAGAAAAUGAGUCAUUAAAUCGGCUCUAAAUGUGACAUUAAGGGUUCUAAAAUGUGACAUUAU